GUCUAUGGCUGUACCACCCUGAACACGCCCGAUCUUGUCUGAUCUUGGAAGCUAAGCAGGGUCAGGCCUGGUUAGUACUUGGAUGGGAGGAAGUAUUAGGUCUGUGUCUU
rnacentral:rRNA from 1 species